rnacentral:rRNA from 1 species
GAUGAACGCUGGCGGCGUGCUUAACACAUGCAAGUCGAACGGAAAGGCCCAAGCUUGCUUGGGUACUCGAGUGGCGAACGGGUGAGUAACACGUGGGUGAUCUGCCCUGCACUUCGGGAUAAGCCUGGGAAACUGGGUCUAAUACCGGAUAGGACCACUUCUUGGAUGUUGUGGUGGAAAGAUUUUUCGGUGUGGGAUGAGCUCGCGGCCUAUCAGCUUGUUGGUGGGGUAAUGGCCUACCAAGGCGUCGACGGGUAGCCGGGCUGAGAGGGUGUACGGCCCCAAUGGGGCUGAGGUUCGGCCCAGACGCCUACGGGAGGCAGCAGUGGGGAAUAAUUCACAAUGGGCGGGAGGCUGAUGCAGCGACGCCGGGUGGGGGAUGACGGCCUUCGGGUUGUAAACUCCUUUCGGUAGGGACGGAGCGGUUUGUGACGGUACCUGGAGAAGAAGCACCGGCUAACUACGUG